UUUGUCGUGUAAACAGAGGUGGGUUCCCCGUUGGGUCACUCGUUUGCAUUUCACAAAGCAUCAGCUUAGGUCAUUAUUGUGUGUGUGAAACACAUCGGUUCUUCUUCUAAUCUUAAAACAUCAAACAUCCCACAUAAUUGCUUUCUAAAUUAUGUCACUUAGUUCCAAAUUAGUUCUUUUUUUGUUUUAUAAGAUGUUUUUGUCUGUUACUCUUCACUGAGAAAUGCUUUCAUUUUGAGAAACCAGGAUAAUCCAUUUGUUUUUCUUUUUUUAUCAUUUUUUUUUAGCUCACUGAGUCACCAUUACUCUUUUGCUACAGCAACUUAAUCUUAUACUUAAAAAAAAAAAAUAACUGAACCCAGCUUUACAAUUAAGUUGCUUUAUUUCCAAGCAAAGAAAUUGUAUUUUUGGGAAAUUGUUGGUGGCACUUUUUUUCCCCAACUGCAAUAAUUUAUAUAAAACGAAUGUAACUUAACUGUUCUUAGAAAUUCUUCUAUAAUUGUUAAAACAAAACUGGGAACAUAUAUUUAUAAUAUUUAUGAGCUGUAUCUUCCUGUUUUCCUGCUGUAUAACUGUGCCGUGACAAAGAGACCCAUUUCUUUCAUCCUCACUUGGGCAGGACAAGAGAACAUGCCGUGAAAGUAAAGUGUAUUCAAAAGGCUCCAGAAAAAUAGCUUCUCAUCUUACCUUGCACCUAUAUACAAUCAAGGAAAUAAAUGUAAAAGUUUAAACCAGGAUUUACACUUAGGAAACAGCAGCAACAUCCUUUUCCAUUACAAACAUGUGGAGUUUGUUAAACUCCACAAACUGAAAGCAUACCAUACCGCAUUUUAUUUGUAAAACUAAAACCGGAGUCGUGAUUUCUUGUGUACUUGUGCCAUUUAAAAUCUUGCUGCAGCAUUUUGAGCUAACUGUAAGCGUGCAAGAGGAGAACGGAUAAUAGCAAUUGAAAACAUAAAAAAAAUCGCUAUAAAAUUGCAAUCUAAAUUGUAGUUAAUUUAAAUCAACUGUGUUUGGGAUGUUUGUCUAUGGUUUACAUUUGAAAUUCCAACUUUUGAGUCUUCGCCAGUGCAGAAUUGGGACAUCUGUCUCACUUCAGUGACAUAAAAUCUGGAUGAAAUGCAAUGUGACUAUCCGAGCAUUAAGAAAACAUCAGAUAGGCAUCAGAUUUUGGACCAGAUGCUGCAUAAAAAUGGCCUGGGUCAUUAAAAGAAGACAACAAAAAUUUAGAUAUUGUUACCAUCUGGGCAAUAAAAAUCGGAUUUUGGCCACCUUUACCUGCAAUGUGAACAUAAUCAAAGACUAAGCUCAUAAUAAAUAAACAGAUCAUUUGGAUUAGAUGUAAAACACAGAAUGAAUAUGUGGAAAAACAGCUUUCAAAGAACACCACAACAUUUUAAGUCAAAAUCUGGAGACCUCUGCCAGACAAAAGGGCUUCGCAAUUUAUCCGGAUUCAUGCAAUACGGGUCAAAACGGGUCACAAAACUGUGGGUAUAUAUUCGUAUAUGUGUAAUGCAACACUAAAUUCCUCAAAAAAAAAAGUUUAAUAAAAGAAGAAGCAAAAAAUAUUUUUGAUUACAACUAGAAUCAGAAGUUAAUUUUUAGCUUUACCUAAGCAUUCCUUUUUGUUGAGUUAAAAAAUCUGAAUGUUGUUACAGGAAACAUUUCCACCUGAACCUACUAAACUAUCACCUUAUCAUCAGCUGCCACAUAAAGCCAUGGAUUCCCUAAAGCGUUAGACGGAGUGCAGCCCGGGUAAAAUCCGGUCCACACUUGACUUCCUGUUGUUGUUAAGUGUGUGACCUGCAAACACUGUGUACAAACAGUAGGGAAAAAAAGCUGAGAUAGUGACGUGUGAAGCUUGAAACCAGAGAGACGGAUGAUAAACCACGAUGAAGGCGGCAGAACCACACAGUUUGGAGGUUUGAUCUCAGCUACGCAAGUUCUGUUUGCUUCUUUGCGGUUUUCUGACUCACUCGUUCUCUUAAUGGCCCUUCGGAGCACUUACUUCCCUUAUACCGGUGCCAACAAUUAGUUCUCUGUAUCCUUCUGCCCUACAGGUAGCUGUUAAUUACCAGUCAUGUUCGUCAUUUGUAAAAAUGAGCACGUAGAGACUUGAAUGUUUCUUUAGAUACUGUAUCCAGCGCGGUAAACAGCGCGUCUCAGGUAUUUAGACUCGGUAGAAAAAUCUAAACUGCUUCAUCACACAGCAGAACAUCUUCCUGAGGGUGUGUGCAACCAGACGGCAUCGCUGAACACCACAUCCAGACACCAGCAAUUAGAACAUGGAGAGCAGACGUCUUCUCUUCCCUUGUUGUGGGAGGGCGGCUUCACAGAGAUCCAGGCUGCUGCCCUUCCCUCGGGCAUCCUGGAUGCCCACGUUGAGGGAGAGCAGCGAGACAGAAGAACGGAGAGAACCUGUGUGUGCAAAAGCCAAAAAAGAAAAAAAAAAAAAGAGAAAGUGAAGAAAAAGAGAUUGGUGGGGGUGAGAUGAACGCAGCAGCCCAUGGUUUGUCUCAGGGCUGCAACAGCUUCCAGAACCGAUGUGCAGCAGACUGAAGAGAGGCACGUCUGCCCCACAGGCAGAGACUGGAAAACAGGAUCAAAGAGUCGCCAGGGCAACCUGCUUGACACACAUUGUAUUAAAGCCACACGGUUAAUUUGAAAGAGAGGGAAGAAGGGCAAAAGGAGAAGAAAGGGGGAGCUGAGGCGGGGGGACAAAGACGCAGCACAGAGUCGAGUAUAUUUAUCAGGAACUCCUGUCUUACUCGGUUAACUUUACACUCAAAACUCUCUUCAGCUGCUCCACUUUGAUCGCUUUUACCUUCGAACUUUGGCUCGAACUCCCCUGGUUCAUCUGUCUUUUUCUGAUUGUCGUUCAGCGUCUCAGGUUUCCACAGGACACCUUGGUCCACAAAUCGGGGGGAAAUAUCUGCAGGAAUUCACGUAAAUGGGAAACCCAGGAUAUAAUCUGUGCUGAUCCAGGAAAAGCAAAUAUUCUUUUGUAAACAUAUCCAGAUGUAUAAAAACAUUCAAAUAAAUUCUCCUUUUCCUGCA